rnacentral:rRNA from 1 species
GAUGAACGCUGGCGGCGUGCCUAAUACAUGCAAGUCGAGCGAACAGACGAGGAGCUUGCUCCUCUGACGUUAGCGGCGGACGGGUGAGUAACACGUGGAUAACCUACCUAUAAGACUGGGAUAACUUCGGGAAACCGGAGCUAAUACAGGAUAAUAUAUUGAACCGCAUGGUUCAAUAGUGAAAGACGGUUUUGCUGUCACUUAUAGAUGGAUCCGCGCCGCAUUAGCUAGUUGGUAAGGUAACGGCUUACCAAGGCAACGAUGCGUAGCCGACCUGAGAGGGUGAUCGGCCACACUGGAACUGAGACACGGCCCAGACUCCUACGGGAGGCAGCAGUAGGGAAUCUUCCGCAAUGGGCGAAAGCCUGACGGAGCAACGCCGCGUGAGUGAUGAAGGUCUUCGGAUCGUAAAACUCUGUUAUUAGGGAAGAACAAAUGUGUAAGUAACUAUGCACGUCUUGACGGUACCUAAUCAGAAAGCCACGGCUAACUACGUG